GUGAGACUGAUGAGAAGAGAUCUCCAUUCUGAAGAGGAAAAGACACGUGUGGUUACCAAAAACUAAGUAACAAUCCUUUUCUAAGGGAUUAGUACCACCAUGCCCUCCAGUGCCUAACCCAGGAACCUGGAACCACCCAGCCCAAACCUCUCCCUUUUCAGCCUCCACGUCUACACCCUGCAGACUCGGAAACUAAUAACUAAGUAAACGAAUGGAACAUGUUGACA